rnacentral:rRNA from 1 species
UACGUAGGGGGCAAGCGUUGUCCGGAUUUAUUGGGCGUAAAGCGUGCGCAGGCGGUUUUGUAAGACAGAGGUGAAAUCCCCGGGCUCAACCUGGGAACUGCCUUUGUGACUGCAAGGCUUGAGUGCGGCAGAGGGGGAUGGAAUUCCGCGUGUAGCAGUGAAAUGCGUAGAUAUGCGGAGGAACACCGAUGGCGAAGGCAAUCCCCUGGGCCUGCACUGACGCUCAUGCACGAAAGCGUGGGGAGCAAACAGG